rnacentral:rRNA from 1 species
UACAGAGGGUGCAAGCGUUAAUCGGAAUUACUGGGCGUAAAGCGUGCGUAGACGGUCAUGUAAGUCGGGUGUGAAAGCCCCGGGCUCAACCUGGGAAUUGCAUUCGAGACUGCAUGGCUAGGAUGCGGAAGAGGGAAGCGGAAUUUCCGGUGUAGCGGUGAAAUGCGUAGAUAUCGGAAGGAACAUCAGUGGCGAAAGCGACUUCCUGGACCAGUACCGACGUUCAGGCACGAAAGCGUGGGGAGCAAACAGG